rnacentral:rRNA from 1 species
GUCGGGAAUAUUGCGCAAUGGAGGAAACUCUGACGCAGUGACGCCGCGUAUAGGAAGAAGGUCUUCGGAUUGUAAACUAUUGUCGUUAGGGAAGAAAAAGGACAGUACCUAAGGAGGAAGCUCCGGCUAACUACGUGCCAGCAGCCGCGGUAAUACGUAGGGAGCAAGCGUUAUCCGGAUUUAUUGGGUGUAAAGGGUGCGUAGACGGGUUAAUAAGUUAGUUGUGAAAUCCCUCGGCUCAACUGAGGAACUGCAACUAAAACUGUUAAUCUUGAGUGUUGGAGAGGAAAGCGGAAUUCCUAGUGUAGCGGUGAAAUGCGUAGAUAUUAGGAGGAACACCAGUGGCGAAGGCGGCUUUCUGGACAAUAACUGACGUUGAGGCACGAAAGUGUGGGGAGCAAACAGG